rnacentral:rRNA from 1 species
UACAGAGGGUGCGAGCGUUAAUCGGAAUUACUGGGCGUAAAGCGUGCGUAGACGGCUAUCUAAGUCGGGUGUGAAAGCCCCGGGCUCAACCUGGGAAUUGCAUUCGAGACUGAAUAGCUAGGGUACGGUAGAGGGAAGUGGAAUUUCCGGUGUAGAGGUGAAAUUCGUAGAUAUUCGCAAGAACACCAGUGGCGAAGGCGGCUCACUGGCCCGGUACUGACGCUGAGGCACGAAAGCGUGGGGAGCAAACAGG